rnacentral:snoRNA from 1 species
GGGUCCAUUCUAAUUCCCUGCUGGUCAAUGCCAGUACCUGCCGGGUUUCGCUUGUGGACCACAUUAAACUGGAAAACUUCAAAGCAUGUAUGAGCUUACCGGCAGUCUGCUCAUGGCGUAGUUUUCUGGACACGU